rnacentral:rRNA from 1 species
UACGUAGGUCCCGAGCGUUGUCCGGAUUUAUUGGGCGUAAAGGGAGCGUAGACGGCGAUGCAAGCCAGAUGUGAAAGCCCGGGGCUCAACCCCGGGACUGCAUUUGGAACUGUAUAGCUAGAGUGUCGGAGAGGCAGGCGGAAUUCCUAGUGUAGCGGUGAAAUGCAUAGAUAUUAGGAGGAACACCAGUGGCGAAGGCGGCCUGCUGGACGAUGACUGACGUUGAGGCUCGAAAGCGUGGGGAGCAAACAGG